AUGAGGGCGCUCCAGGGGCCCACAUCGGGCAGGAGAAGAGGAGCACCCCGCUCACACAGGACUCUUUCCGGACUUCCCCAAGGGCUCAGGUCUCCAGGGGUGAAGACAGAUGGUUCAGACUCUGGAACAGUCCAUUUCCUUCCUGCUCAUAAGGCUAGACCAAGCAGUCCUCUGGGAAUGAUGCUCCGUGGAUGUUCUCAGCUGAGUUAAAGAUCAUGGUUGAUGUUGGACAGCUAAAACGAUGGAUAAGCGAGGCUACUGGCUCUCAUUCCCAUGCUUACAGAAGCAGACUUGGAGGCACAGAGAGGAUGGGGAAACUGAGGCUCUGCAAAGACAAGCACCUUGUGAUGAUUAUUUUGCUGGCAGAAUGGAGGUUGAGACAAAUCUAAACCUGAACCAGAGCCUGCACUUGGUCUGCCUCACCAUGAAACAAGAGAGAAGGUUCUGAAGUUGCAGGAAUGACUUCAGAACCUUGGAGAGCAAGGCGGAGCCUGGCUGGGCAGUAGAGCCUUUUCUGGGACAGCUCAGCCCAGACCUGUUUGGCUAUGAUCAGCAGCUAGCCAGAGGUUCCCAUGGGCAAAGAGCAAUCCUGCGUUCCGUGACUUCCCUUGGCUUUGCCUGCAGCCACCCAGACUCCCGGCACUGAAAUAGCCACCCACUGCCUCUCGAUGUAGAAACAGAGGUAGGCAGGGGCUAGUGGAGUCAAUAGGACUUAGGAAACUUCAAGGCCGUCCAACCAGGUGGCCCUGGAUUGAGUCCCAGAGCCUCCUCUGGCUGAUCCGCUGAAGGGUCACAUGACUAGGUAAGGCACCUUGCUAAACUCUCGUGUUCAUAUUUGUCAAAAAGGGAUCAACCAUGUUUAUUACUGUUUUAGUAGAACCAGAUUUGUAUUAUCAUCUGUCCUGUUAAAGUUUGGAUAUUGA